rnacentral:rRNA from 1 species
CAGUCGAGCGGUAACAGGGGUAGCUUGCUACCCGCUGACGAGCGGCGGACGGGCGAGUAACGCGUAGGAAUCUACCCGGUAGUUGGGGAUAGCCCGGAGAAGUCCGGAUUAAUACCGAAUAAUCUCUACGGAGGAAAGGGGGCUUCGGCUCUCGCUACUGGAUGAGUCUGCGUCGGAUUAGCUAGUUGGUGGGGUAAAGGCCUACCAAGGCGACGAUCCGUAGCUGGUCUGAGAGGAUGAUCAGCCACACUGGGACUGAAACACGGCCCAGACUCCUACGGGAGGCAGCAGUGGGGAAUAUUGGACAAUGGGGGCAACCCUGAUCCAGCCAUGCCGCGUGUGUGAAGAAGGCCUUCGGGUUGUAAAGCACUUUCAGUGGGGAGGAAGGGGUGAUGGUUAAUACCCAUCAUCAUUGACGUCACCCACAGAAGAAGCACCGGCUAACUCCGUGCCAGCAGCCGCGGUAAUACGGAGGGUGCAAGCGUUAAUCGGAAUUACUGGGCGUAAAGCGCGCGUAGGCGGCAAGUUAAGUUGGGUGUGAAAGCCCCGGGCUCAACCUGGGAACGGCAUUCAAAACUGGCUAGCUAGAGUACAGCAGAGGAUAGUGGAAUUUCCGGUGUAGCGGUGAAAUGCGUAGAGAUCGGAAGGAACACCAGUGGCGAAAGCGACUGUCUGGGCUGAUACUGACGCUGAUGUGCGAAAGCGUGGGGAGCAACAGGAUUAGAUAC